AUGGAUGUUGAUCAAGAACGUGAACUGGAAGCCCUGGAGGGCAUACUGAGUGAUCCAAGUGCAAAGCCCAUCAGGCUAUCUUAUGGAGUUUUGAAAUUUAUUACGAAUAAUUUUUCUAAAGAAAUUGGUAGUGGUGGGUUUGGAGUGGUGUACCAGGGAGAUUUACAAAAUGGGUUUGUCGCUGUGAAGAUGUCAAAUGUCUAUAAUAUCACUGAUAAGCAAUUCAUGGAUGAGAUCAAGUGUUUAAAAAGUGCAAAUCACAAAAACAUAGUAAGAUUUCUGGGCUAUUGUGCGGAUACACAAGAAGAAAUUAUGCCAUUGGAUGGAACAUUUGUGAUGGCAGGGCGACGGAAUAGGUUGCUCUGCUUUGAAUAUGUUCCUAAUGGAAAUGUCCGGCAGUAUCUUGAAAAAGGUACUAAGAGCUUACAAACUCAUUUCCCUAUUUGCAUUCAGUAUAAAAAUUAA
rnacentral:rRNA from 1 species